CCUACGGGAGGCAGCAGUAGGGAAUCUUCCACAAUGGACGAAAGUCUGAUGGAGCAACGCCGCGUGAGUGAAGAAGGGUUUCGGCUCGUAAAGCUCUGUUGGUAGUGAAGAAGGAUAGCGGUAGUAACUGCCCUGUAUUUGACGGUACUUACUUAGAAAGUCACGGCUAACUACGUGCCAGCAGCCGCGGUAAUACGUAGGUGGCAAGCGUUGUCCGGAUUUAUUGGGCGUAAAGCGAAUGCAGGCGGUUCAAUAAGUCUGAUGUGAAAGCCUUGGGCUCAACCGGAGAAUUGCAUCAGAAACUGGUGAACUUGAGUGCAGAAGAGGAGAGUAGAACUCCAUGUGUAGCGGUGGAAUGCGUAGAGAUAUGGAGGAAAACCAGUGGCGAAGGCGGCUCUCUGGUCGGCAACUGACGCUGAGGUUCGAAAGCAUGGGUAGCGAACAGGAUUAGAUACCCCAGUAGUC
rnacentral:rRNA from 1 species